rnacentral:rRNA from 1 species
GACGAACGCUGGCGGCGUGCCUAAUACAUGCAAGUCGAGCGGACAGAUGGGAGCUUGCUCCCGGAAGUCAGCGGCGGACGGGUGAGUAACACGUGGGCAACCUGCCUGUAAGACUGGGAUAACUUCGGGAAACCGGAGCUAAUACCGGAUACGUUCUUUUCUCGCAUGAGAGAAGAUGGAAAGAUGGUUUCGGCUAUCACUUACAGAUGGGCCCGCGGCGCAUUAGCUAGUUGGUGAGGUAAUGGCUCACCAAGGCGACGAUGCGUAGCCGACCUGAGAGGGGGAUCGGCCACACUGGGACUGAGACACGGCCCGGACUCCUACGGGAGGCAGCAGUAGGGAAUCUUCCGCAAUGGACGAAAGUCUGACGGAGCAACGCCGCGUGAACGAUGAAGGCCUUCGGGUCGUAAAGUUCUGUUGUUAGGGAAGAACAAGUACCAGAGUAACUGCUGGUACCUUGACGGUACCUAACCAGAAAGCCACGGCUAACUACGUGCCAGCCGCCGCCGUAAUAC